rnacentral:rRNA from 1 species
AUGGAGGGCCGGGGGAGGCGGCCGCGGAGCCCGGAGCGGCAGAGGCCGCCGGCGAGGAAGGUGCCGGUGGUGUACUACCUCACGCGGAGCCGCCACCUCGAGCACCCGCACUUCGUCGAGGUGCCGGCGCCCUCCUCCUCCGAGGGGCUCUACCUCAGAGAUGUGAUUCGGCACCUCAACAUGGUGCGCGGCAAGGGCAUGGCCUCCAUGUACUCCUGGUCCUGCAAGAGGAGCUACAAGAACGGAUUCGUGUGGCAUGAUCUCGCCGAGGACGACCUCGUCCUCCCUGCCACCGACGGCGAGUACGUGAUCAAGGGCUCCGAGAUCCUGGACCAACCUUCUUCAGGUCAAUUUCACCAUGGCAGUAAUGGCAACCAGAAGCAGCAGAGCAGGCAGAAAGAGGGUAGUACAAGGUUGCCUCGGUCAAGGGAGGCCUCCUUCUCCUCCUCCCCACCUAGUGUGACAGUUAGAGAAGCCAAGCCUCGGCGCGUGCCUUCGGUGCCUUCGCGAGAGGAGGACGACUCCCCCUCGCCGUGCCGGGGCACCUCCUCGGAGACAAUGUCGCCGGAAUCGGAGCCUCAGAGGACUGUCAUGUCACGGCCGACGCCGGCAGAAUUCAGGGUUUUCAAGCCCACCGGUUUGAUGGAUGCCGCAACUCAAACCGAUGAUCUCGGGAGAAGGUCGGCUCGGAGAGUACCUGAGAUGCAUAAGAAGAGCCUGAGCACUGAUCAUGACGUCCGUGAGGUCACCGAGUACCGGCAGCAGAGCCAUCCUCGCCGGUCGGCCGAGCUCCAGGGGAUCUCCAGGGAUGUCAUGUCCCACUGUGCCACCCCACUGAGCAUGGCUUCAACCCAUGGAAAGUCCGAGAGCUUGGAGUCGUUGAUACGAGCCGACAACGCGUCAGCCAACAGCUUCAGGAUCCUGGAAGAGGACGACAUUGUCGUGCCGACCUGCCCGAAGCUGAGGCCGGCGAAUGUGCUGAUGCAGCUCAUCACCUGUGGUUCACUUUCAGUCAAGGAUCAUGACAACAUUGGGCUUGUUGGGGCUUACAAGCCAAGGUUCCCAAACUUGAAGUUCCCAUCGCCGCUGAUUUCUCGCUCCAUGAUGAUGGGUGAGCUCGAUUACCUAUCAGAGAACCCCAGAUUCAUUGGGACACGGAUUGAAGAUAAGGAGUAUUUUAGUGGGAGCAUUAUUGAGACCAAGACGCAGAGAGACGUUCCCACCGAGAGGCACUCGGUGCUUAAGCGGUCUUCUUCCUACAAUGCAGAAAGGGGCGGCGAGAACCUCUGCGACUGCGCGGGGCCCGACGAAGAAGAGAUGGUACCGCGCUCGAGGUGCCUGCCCCGGACGCCGAUACUGUCAUCCUUGCUGCACCCGAAGAGUGAGAUGCAGAAGUCCCCGGUGUCGGACUGCCGGAGGAGCUCCUCGGCCGGGCCGGACUCGAUAGACGGCGGGAGCAGGCGGUUCACCGACGCGUCGUCGAGGGUAGAGUCCUUCAGGAAGGAGAACAAGGAGAAGCUCGUCAAGAUCGAGGAAAGUUGUCGUCGGGAGCUCGCGUCGUGA